AACAAGGUCUCCGUUGGUGAACCAGCGGAGGGAUCAUUAUCGAGUUAUUCAACUCCCAAACCCUAUGUGAACUUACCACUUGUUGCUUCGGCGCGCGCUUCGGCGCCGCCGAGGACACUUAAACUCUUUGUUUUUAUAAGCAUUUCUGAGUGGCCGAAAGGCAAAAAUACAAAUGAAUCAAAACUUUCAACAACGGAUCUCUUGGUUCUGGCAUCGAUGAAGAACGCAGCGAAAUGCGAUAAGUAAUGUGAAUUGCAGAAUUCAGUGAAUCAUCGAAUCUUUGAACGCACAUUGCGCCCGCCAGCAUUCUGGCGGGCAUGCCUGUUCGAGCGUCAUUUCAACCCUCGAGCCCGACCCUUUUGAGGACGGCUCGGCGUUGGGGGACGGCAGACUCCCCCCGGCAUCUCGCCGGGGACGCCGCCCCCGAAAUCUAGUGGCGGCCCUCCGAGGCGACCUCUGCGUAGUAACUUGUUCUCGCACCGGAAAGCUCAGAGCGGCCACGCCGUAAAACCCCAACUUUUUUCAGGUUGACCUCGAAUCAGGUAGGACUACCCGCUGAACUUAAGCAUAUCAAUA
rnacentral:rRNA from 1 species